GACGAACGCUGGCGGCGUGCUUAACACAUGCAAGUCGAACGAAGUGGCGAACGGGUGAGUAACGCGUAAUCAACCUGCCCUUCAGAGGGGGACAACAGUUGGAAACGACUGCUAAUACCGCAUACUGAAGGAGGGGAUUGCGUCUGAUUAGCUAGUUGGAGGGGUAACGGCCCAACAAGGCGAUGAUCAGUAGCCGGUUUGGGAGGAUGAACGGCCACAUUGGGACUGGGGACCGGGCCAAACUCCCACGGGAUGGAGCAGUGGGGAAUCUUCGGCAAUGGAGGAAAGUCUGACGGAGCAAAGCCGCGUGAGUGAUGACGGCCUUCGGGUUGGAAAGCUCUGUUAAUCGGGACGCGGUACCGGAAUAGAAAGCCACGGCUAACUACGUGCCAGCAGCCGCGGUAAUAC
rnacentral:rRNA from 1 species